rnacentral:rRNA from 1 species
CCCUUAGAUGUUCUGGGCCGCACACGCGCUACACUGAAGGAGGCAGCGUGUACUCCUGGAUCGAAAGAUUUGGGUAACCCGCGAAUCUCCUUCGUGCUAGGGAUUGAGGUUUGCAAUUAUCCUUCAUGAACGAGGAAUUCCCAGUAAGUGCAAGUCAUAAGCUUGCGCUGACUACGUCCCUGCCCUUUGUACACACCGCCCGGCGCUACUACCGAUUGAAUGAUUUAGUGAGGACUUCGGACUGGGACCGAUGCGGCUUUCGGGCUGCGUCGGUAUUCUGGAAAGAUGUCCAAACUGUAUCAUUUAGAGGAAGUAAAAGUCGUAACA